UGACCUGCGGAGGGAUCAUUACAAGAACGCCCGGGCUUCGGCCUGGUUAUUCAUAACCCUUUGUUGUCCGACUCUGUUGCCUCCGGGGCGACCCUGCCUUCGGGCGGGGGCUCCGGGUGGACACUUCAAACUCUUGCGUAACUUUGCAGUCUGAGUAAACUUAAUUAAUAAAUUAAAACUUUUAACAACGGAUCUCUUGGUUCUGGCAUCGAUGAAGAACGCAGCGAAAUGCGAUAAGUAAUGUGAAUUGCAGAAUUCAGUGAAUCAUCGAAUCUUUGAACGCACAUUGCGCCCCCUGGUAUUCCGGGGGGCAUGCCUGUUCGAGCGUCAUUUCACCACUCAAGCCUCGCUUGGUAUUGGGCAACGCGGUCCGCCGCGUGCCUCAAAUCGUCCGGCUGGGUCUUCUGUCCCCUAAGCGUUGUGGAAACUAUUCGCUAAAGGGUGUUCGGGAGGCUACGCCGUAAAACAACCCCAUUUCUAAGGUUGACCUCGGAUCAGGUAGGGAUACCCGCUGAACUUAAGCAUAUCAAUAA
rnacentral:rRNA from 1 species